rnacentral:tRNA from 1 species
UCUCUGGUAGCCUAAUGGUUAAAGGCUCUGGUGUUGUCAUUUCUGUGGCACAGGUUUGAUCCCUGUUCUGGGAA